UUAGCGAUUUGAGAGAGCGGACGAAAACUCUGCCGUCUCGAUCCGCAGCCGCGGCCCCAACAAUCACGCACGAGAAAAGGAAGCAGAUCCAAUCGAAUCGCCUCACCCUCAACCGACCGCUGCACCUCCGGCUUAUGGCGUGAGCCUUUUCUCCCUCCUCACCAGAUUUCGUCUUCGCCAUCGAGAGGUGUUAAGGGAGGCGCCCGCGACGCAACGGCGGCGGGGAGAAGCGGCGCAUUGGCGGCCAGCAGCGCAUGUGCAGCACAUAGCAGCGGCGGCUGUAAGGCCACAGCGGACGAGCAGGUGGUGCGGCUGAGGGCGUGAGAAGGGAGGCCGGGCGGCGCCCGAGGCGGAGCUCGGCCGCGAGCCUGGCACGCAGAGGGCAGCCCCGCGCGAGCGCCCUGCAGCCGCAUCGCCGAGCGGCAACCCCGCCGCCACACUACUGCACGAGGGCAGCGCCACCGCAUCGCCGAGCCACAGCCCGGCCGUUCCCGGCCGGAGGUCGCCGACGCCUUUCCCAGCUUUGCGUCGGCACCCUGAAUCCCUGAUCGGACGCCUCCCUUUUGGUUAACAUGUUUCUAUGAAAUUGAACAUUUCAGUAACAUUCUGAUGUGUAUUCACAACUUCACAUUAAUUCAGAAACUGUAUGUAUGAAUCGACUGCAUCCGAUGUUGUGCUUCUCAUGUUCCCUUGAAAGAUCGCUGGAUGGAAAGAUGUUUUUGCUUUCAGGAUUUCUGGUGUGUGUACGACCCUCUAAGUAACUCUUUUUCAUCUCAUGCAGCAACAGAGGCUUAGAGGAAGGCGCUGCAGCGUGGAUGCACAUGGGAUGCUGCAGGUUAAAGUCCUUUUAGUUUGUUGAUAAUUUGUCAGACGUAGAUGGUAAGUUAUAUGGUAGAAAUAGAUUUUAAUUUGUGUAUCGUGUGGAUUCCAAAACUAAUCUGCUUGUACUCCCUUGUAUAUAAAUUUGCAUGAUGAAUCUUUUUGCAAUAUACAUGUGCCAAAGAGGAGGAGAGUAUCAAAGGAUAAAGGAGUCAGGAAGGACCGAAGGAGAAAAUAUAUGAUCCACAAAUUGUCAAGCACACAUGCUACAACCAUCAACUUCUGGGAUAUUAACUAUCUAACUUGGCAAUGUUCACAGAAUGGUUUCCAUCAUCUAUGCGAUUCUGUUUCCAUUAUAGUUGUUUGUUUCUCCAAUGAGUAUGUCUACUGCACACGAUAAGAUAUCUAUUCAGGCUAUGUCACUGCAUCCAAAGGAGUUGGAAAAAUAAAUGGCACAUGCCCUUUCAGAAAACAAACAGAGGAUUUCUGGGCGAACCCUCACUUUUAAUGCAAGUUCACUGGAUGACUACCAUAUCUUUAUGUAGCAUUUGAUUGCUUGGAUGAAGUUGAACGGGAGAUCCCCAUCAGCUUUUGGAAGGCAUGAUUUUGUUUGGUUGGUUUGGUGGACAAUACAGGUAUAUAUCCUAUUAAAACUAAUAUAGCUCCAACCAGGGCAGAACCAAGCGGUAAAAAAACUGAGUGAGCCGAGACAUUUCUUGAUGCGACUGGUUAAGCUUAAAUUUCCAUGUGAUAUUCAUUUCUUAUGUAAUAAGGAGUUCCAUGCAAAGUUCUGCACCGAGCAUGAGCCAGGAAAGUUAAGUAGAACAUGGUCUGAUGAUCCAUUGACAAGGAAAUUUAAGCGAACACAACUGUUGAUGGGUGGCUCUGCUGUCCCCAAUGCUCCUGCUCUUGGAUCAUUACCCAAGCAUAUCUUUGUAUACACUAACAAACCGUGGGCUAGGCAAUAUUCGGUUCAAGAUGACCUGGAUUAAUGAUAUUUCCGUUAUCAUUUAUUUCAUUAAUGAAGAAGCUGUAGUCGAUUCCAAUACAUUUUAAAGGUAGUUAUUUUUUUAUUGGAACUAGCAGUUGUACCAAACAUUUUGUG